rnacentral:rRNA from 1 species
AGUGAACGCUGGCGGUAGGCCUAACACAUGCAAGUCGAACGGCAGCACAGUAAGAGCUUGCUCUUACGGGUGGCGAGUGGCGGACGGGUGAGGAAUACAUCGUAAUCUACUUUUUCGUGGGGGAUAACGUAGGGAAACUUACGCUCAUACCGCAUACCACCUACGGGUGAAAGCAGGGGAACUUCGGACCUUGCGCGAUUGAAUGAGCCGAUGUCGGGUUUGCUGGUUGGCGGGGUAAAGGCCCACCCAGGGGCCGAUCCGUAGCUGGUCUGGGUGGAUGGUCAGCCACACUGGAACGGAGACACGGUCCAGACUCCUACGGGAGGCAGCAGUGGGGAAUAUUGGACAAUGGGCGCAAGCCUGAUCCAGCCAUACCGCGUGUGUGAAGAAGGCCUUCGGGUUGUAAAGCCCUUUUGUUGGGAAAGAAAAGCAGCAGGUUAAUACCCCGCUGUUCUGACGGUACCCAAAGAAUAAGCACCGGCUAACUUCGUG